GGAGGCGUCGCCUAGUCAGGUCUAUGGCGCCCGCCUGCUAAGCGGGAGCGGUCUUAAAGCCGCACGCGGGUUCAAAUCCCGCCGCCUCCGCCA
rnacentral:tRNA from 1 species